AACCCUUAAAAUUAUGAAUUUUUUCAUGAGCGUUGUAUUUAUGAGAAUUUAGAGAAAACUGAAUACGUUUUCAGGAACAGGAUGUGAAUGAAGCCUAGAUAUACAUAAAUCAAAAUGACACAGCUCUAUAAUUAAAUUGAAACAAAAGUUAGGCGUUCGGUAACACGUGACCAAACUGUGCAGUGAGCUGUCAUAUUCAAUUGCUCACAGGUGGUGAUAGACUGAAAAUUCAGGGGAAGCAAGAAGAAGUGAAAUUUAAAUUUGUGGAUUAUACACUUGCUUUAUAGCUGCAUUUAGAAGAGAUACACGAUUGUAACAAAGAAAUUCAGUCAGAGACUGCAAGGAAAACAAAUGUUGUGGCGGUAAAUAACAAUGAAAUCGAAGACCAU